GACGGAGGAUGCAAGCGUUAUCCGGAAUGAUUGGGCGUAAAGCGUCCGCAGGUGGCAGUUCAAGUCUGCUGUCAAAGACCGGGGCUUAACUUCGGAAAGGCAGUGGAAACUGAACAGCUAGAGUAUGGUAGGGGCAGAGGGAAUUCCUGGUGUAGCGGUGAAAUGCGUAGGAGUCAGGAAGAACAUCGGUGGCGAAGGCGCUCUGCUGGACCAUAACUGACACUCAGGGACGAAAGCUAGGGGAGCAAAUGGG
rnacentral:rRNA from 1 species